UACGGAGGGUGCAAGCGUUAUCCGGAUUCACUGGGUUUAAAGGGUGCGUAGGUGGGCUGGUAAGUCAGUGGUGAAAUCUCCAGGCUUAACUUGGAAACUGCCAUUGAUACUAUCAGUCUUGAAUACCGUGGAGGUCAGCGGAAUAUGUCAUGUAGCGGUGAAAUGCUUAGAUAUCUGGAGGAACACCGGUGGCGAAAGCGGCUUCCUGGACCAGCACCGACGUUCAGGCACGAAAGCGUGGGGAGCAAACAGG
rnacentral:rRNA from 1 species